rnacentral:sRNA from 1 species
UUUUAGCCUCGAUGGAAGCGACAUCCUUUUGUGUCCGUCGCGAAAGACACAAAAAGAUAUAGCGGACAGAGGGAAUAGCU